UACGUAGGGGGCAAGCGUUGUCCGGAAUUACUGGGCGUAAAGCGCGUGUAGGCGGGACGACAAGUCCGGCGUGAAAGGCUCGGGCUCAACCCGAGACGGCCGUUGGAAACUGUCGUUCUUGAGGGUCGAAGAGGAGAGUGGAAUUCCUGGUGUAGCGGUGAAAUGCGUAGAGAUCAGGAGGAACACCCAUGGCGAAGGCAGCUCUCUGGUCGACCUCUGACGCUGAGACGCGAAAGCGUGGGGAGCGAACGGGAUUAGAUACCCCGGUAGUCCACGCCGUAAACGAUGGUCACUAGGUGUAUGCGGUAUCGACCCCGCAUGUGCCGCAGCUAACGCAAUAAGUGACCCGCCUGGGGAGUACGGCCGCAAGGUUGAA
rnacentral:rRNA from 1 species